GCUCUGCUCUCCCAGGCACUACUGAGCGCGCUCGCGGUCGCCAGGAGCGGGUCGGGCCCCCGCCGCGCGCAAGCCUUGGUGACAGGGGAUGGCGCGGAGCUGCCUCUCCCCCGGGAAAGUUGGAUCUGUGCGCCCAGACUUGGAAAAGGGAUUAGGACACCGGCAGAUCUUGCCGUCACAGAGCAGCGGUGGGGGCCUAGGAAGGGGCACACCGCCCGUAGGCGCGAAAUCCAAGAAGAAAAUGACACUCAUCAGCCAGCCUCACGCGGGGAGAAAGGGCGGAGUGGGGGGGAGUGGCACCCUGCCCGUCCUCUCCCACCCCCACAGUCCGGGCCCACAGUCCAGGAGUCACAAGGAAUGUGAAUCCCCAGGCAUAAUGUGAACCCCCAACAAACCCAAGGCCUCAGAAUGCGCCUCACCUCUCCCUCCCCACCCAGCAGAAACAUCUUCCCACUCUCCCAACCCCUGCUCCAGCCACGCCAACCCUUUAACCUUGUCCCAGAAUGUGUAAACCGUAUCUGCCUCUGUGCCUGUGCACGUGAAGUUGCCUUGGCCCAGAGUUUGCUCCACAGCCUUCUGCCAAACUCCUACUGCUUGAUGGCUGGAAGCCUUCGCACCCUGGCGCUCUCCUCCCGGGUCAGCAGUCACUGGCCUUCCUGUGCAUCCAGGCCGGCUUUGAACCGUGCUGGGCCCCAGCCCUUAUCUUUUUCCGAGUAAUUACAUAGUUGCAUGAUUGGCUCCACCGCCUCUGGAUCAGAUGAGCGCCACUCAUGAGGGAUACAAGUUGUAAAACUAGGUUUUAUGUGAACUCCAGUCAUCACAAUUUAGGUGCGGCUAGCGAUUUUACAGAUGAGGGGUUAGUAACUGGCCCAAAUCCAGGGUUUCUGGGGUGCUGUUUUCCUUUUUUGUUUCUUAGCAGGGAUGGCAGAUGUUUGUAGAACAGAUCCGUGUAAAAGUCAGUAUCCUAAGAGAUUAAAUUGUAAAGCAGGACAAGAUA
rnacentral:lncRNA from 1 species